GCUUAUUACCAUUCCAGAUUGAAUAUACCCGAUCUCGUUUGAUCUCGGAAGUCAAUCAAUCUCGGGCUUGGUUAGUACUUGGAUGGGUGACCGCUUGGGAAUACCAAGUGUGAUAAGCA
rfam:Ciona savignyi cont_29477, whole genome shotgun sequence.